rnacentral:rRNA from 1 species
GACGUAGGGUGCGAGCGUUGUCCGGAUUUAUUGGGCGUAAAGAGCUCGUAGGCGGCUCGUCGCGUCGACCGUGAAAACUUGGGGCUUAACCCUGGGCGUGCGGUUGAUACGGGCGGGCUAGAGUUCGGUAGGGGAGACUGGAAUUCCUGGUGUAGCGGUGAAAUGCGCAGAUAUCAGGAGGAACACCGGUGGCGAAGGCGGGUCUCUGGGCCGAUACUGACGCUGAGGAGCGAAAGCGUGGGGAGCGAACAGG